GUCACCCGAACAAACUGCUACAUGUUCAUUGCCGUGUUGGUGUCCAACACAUGUGAGACAUGGAUACAACCCCCAUUUUGGAGUAUCUAUGCUUCCUAGUCUUCAUUUUUUGUUCCAUUAUCCCCUCCCUCUCUUCUAUACUGGUAGUUAUCUUUUUCUUUUCUUUCCUUCCUAAGUUUUCCAGUUGAUGAGGAGAAGAACAUGAAAUCGGUUGUUGAAUACUUUCAAGAGGUGUAUGGGUUUACCAUUCAACAUCCCCAUCUACCUUGCCUCCAAGUGGGAAAUCCAAGGAAAGUGAACUAUUUGCCAAUGGAGGCUUGCAAGAUAGUUGACGGGCAGAGAUACA